AUAACACAGCAACAUCAUCUCCUGCCCAAGGGCAGCGCCUCCCCUCCCUCGGAUGAUAAAGCCCCUUCCACAGCCAUCUCCUCUGAGCCUGGUACCACCUGAUAAGGUGGGCAGGGGUGUCCUUUCCUAGCAUUCUGCCCACGGGGACCCAGAGACCUUGGUUCUCCAAGACUACGCAGCCCGGACGUGGCAGAACAGAAAGGCCUAGGACGCAAGUCCUCCUCCAAUCACACGCACAAAAGCCCACCAGGAGAGAGAGCCCCUGAGAAGGAUGCCUGGUCCUGAGUGGGUUGCACAGGAAUCCUCUCACCUGAGGUCCCCGUGCAACCAGCCAAGCUAGCAGGACAUGGCCCAGCCAUCAGGGGAGCUACCAGGUCAGAGGUCACUGCAGGCUGGAGCUCAGAAGGUGGGAGGCCUGGCUCUGCCCAUGUGGUACAGGAGACAAAGCUUCUACAAGGGUGCUGAGCCAGCAUCCCAAUGGCGGCCUCCUCUGGAAGAUUCUCACACCACAUCCAGUGGGAACCAAGGGCCUAAGUCAAGAGGACAUGGGGCAUGCAGUCUUCCAGAAGGCUGGAGCUGGAGUGGGCAGUGCCUGUGAAAUCCUGCAGCCUAGACUCUUCUUCACAGAUGAGGGAAAUGGAGGCCCGAGGGGGUGAUGGCACAGUUCUUGUAACUCUGAGCUGCAGAAGUCACAGCCAGAUCUCCUCCCUGUGAGGACAGAAGAGGGGACUGUUACCACACGGAAGCCCAGUGUUUCUUCACUAAGGUCACCCGGGUCUGUUAGCGCCCGACAACAAUGAAGGACUUGGGAAAAUUGGAA